GAACCUGGCAAGGGGAAGGCAGGGACAAGUGUAGAGUCUUCCAGCCCAGGAACUACUACUCCCGGUCCAGGACGGAGGGAUGUGGGAUUUGAUGAGCUCUAGGAACCCGGGAAGCAAAGAAGUAGACCCCAUGGCCUUGUUCUUCCAGUCAGCGCACCGUUGAGUGCUUCCAGAACUUCAGGACAUCUUCCAUGUUCUCCAGGGGCUGUAGCAGGAAGUGGUCUCGCCAUUCUUGCCAGUCAAUGCUUGCUGCAAAGAGAUGGAAACGCCCAGGGCUUGGAAGCUCUGCUGGAUUUCUGAGGCAUCUAUGUGGCCUGGGAGGAACACAGGGGAAAGAGGUUUCCAUGGGUUGAAUCCACUUGAUCUUGCAUGAGGGAAAAGUGGGGACUGAGGAGUUGGAAGAGAUGAGACCCAUAGAAGAAAAUAGGAAGGACUCCUUUUCUAGGGGCUUAAGAUCAAGGAGACAGGGGAUAGGAUCCAGGAGAUUAGAGGCUGGGACUGAAUGGGAAACAAGUGGCCAAGAAAGACUGCAGUCCUAACACAGGCAUUUGGGAUAAAAGGGGAUACUGGAAGCCAAUCCCCUCAUUUUAUAGAUGAGGAAACUAGGCCCAGACAAGAGAAGGGAGUGUGAAAAAGCAGAGAAAAGAUCUGAAUCUAGAGUUACCUGAUGGAAAACCCUAGGUUCUCUAUUCUAACACAUUGCUUCUCCCAGUCUAGGACUGACUGGGAGCCAUGGGUCAUGUCUGAGAGGAAUGUGGGAUUUAAUGAGCUCUAGGAACUGGGGCCUGGGGCAUCCAAGGAAGCAAAGAAAGCUAGAAGCACGUCACUGGGAACUGGGCCAUGAGCUGGUACAGCAGACCACCCUUCUCCUUAUUCUGCUUGGAAGCCCUUCCCUUUCCCAAUUCCUGGGGACCAAAGCCCAGAUGUUCAAGUUCCCCAGCUCUCUCUGGGUAGUUUCAGAGACAGAAACAGGUGAGGAAACUGACUCAGAGGGGCAGAAAUGACAAGCACUAUGUUGUAACAGAAAAGAUUUCCAGUUAAAAGGCAUCAGGCUCACUAAGUCCCAUGACCAAAAGGCUCAAGGAAGGGAAAGCUAAGUGGGCACAGUUUCUUCAAGGAGCUGUGUUCUUGUUAGAUGGGACCGGCUCAGCUACCUCCCAAUAGAAGCCUGUUGAUUACUGAAGACAGAAGGAAAGGAAGGGCUAAACUCUAGGGUCUCUAGAGGCCCUGGAGAAGAGCUACAUG